UAGCCAGACUCCUACGGGAGGCAGCAGUGGGGAAUAUUGCACAAUGGGGGAAACCCUGAUGCAGCGACGCCGCGUGAGUGAGGAAGUAUUUCGGUAUGUAAAGCUCUAUCAGCAGGGAGGAAAAUGACGGUACCUGACUAAGAAGCCCCGGCUAACUACGUGCCAGCAGCCGCGGUAAUACGUAGGGUGCAAGCGUUAUCCGGAUUUACUGGGUGUAAAGGGCGAGUAGACGGCGAUGCAAGUCAGAUGUGAAAUGCUAGGGCUUAACCUUAGAACUGCAUCUGAAACUGUAUUGCUAGAGUGCAGGAGAGGUAAGCGGAAUUCCUAGUGUAGCGGUGAAAUGCGUAGAUAUUAGGAGGAACAUCAGUGGCGAAGGCGGCUUACUGGACUGUAACUGACGUUGAGGCGCGAAAGCGUGGGGAGCAAACAGGAUUAGAUACCCCAGUAUC
rnacentral:rRNA from 1 species